UACGUAGGGUGCGAGCGUUGUCCGGAAUUAUUGGGCGUAAAGAGCUCGUAGGCGGUUUGUCGCGUCGACUGUGAAAACCCGAGGCUUAACCUCGGGCCUGCAGUCGAUACGGGCAGACUAGAGUUCGGUAGGGGAGACUGGAAUUCCUGGUGUAGCGGUGAAAUGCGCAGAUAUCAGGAAGAACACCAAUGGCGAAAGCAGCUUUCUGGGACGGUACUGACGCUGAGACGCGAAAGCGUGGGGAGCGAACAGG
rnacentral:rRNA from 1 species